AUUGAACGCUGGCGGCAGGCCUAACACAUGCAAGUCGAACGGCAACACGAAGCCGCUUGCCGCUUCGCUGAGGAGUGGCGGAGGCGUGUGUAAUGUAUGGGGAACUCCCCGAUGUCGGGGGAUAUCACCUGGGAACGGUAGCUCUUACCGCAUAUCGUCCCCAGGUGUAAGAGCGGGGCAUUCUGGCCCCUUGCCAUCGGGUAUGCCCCGGUGGGAUUAGCUAGUAGGUGGGGGAACGGCUCACCUAGGCGACGAUCCCUAGCUGGUCUGAGAGGAUGACCAGCCACACUGGAACUGAGACACGGUCCAGACUCCUACGGGAGGCAGCAGUGGGGAAUAUUGCACAAUGGGCGCAAGCCUGAUGCAGCCAUGCCGCGUGUAUGAAGAAGGCCUUCGGGUUGUAAAGUACUUUAGGCGGGGAGGAAGAGAAGCAAGUUAAUACCUCUCUUCAUUGACGUUACCCGCAGAAGAAGCACCGGCUAACUCCGUG
rnacentral:rRNA from 1 species